rnacentral:rRNA from 1 species
GUCUAUGGUCAUACCCCCGAAUGAGCCCGAUCUAGUCGGAUUUCAGAAGCUGAGCGGGGCCGGAUCUGACUAGUACUUGGAUGGGAGAAAUGUGAGAGGUCUCCAGAACAUAAAAC